rnacentral:rRNA from 1 species
UACAGAGGUCUCAAGCGUUUGUUCGGAUUCAUUGGGCGUAAAGGGUGCGUAGGUGGCGCGCUAAGUCAGGUGUGAAAUCUCGGGGCUUAACUCCGAAACUGCAUUUGAUACUGGCGUGCUUGAGGACUGGAGAGGAGACUGGAAUUCAUGGUGUAGCAGUGAAAUGCGUAGAGAUCAUGAGGAAGACCAGUGGCGAAGGCGGGUCUCUGGGCAAGUUCCUGACACUGAGGCAC